GCGCGCUCCCAGGCGCCCAUCCAGGCGGCGGCCGGCCGGAGGACAGCUUGCGCGUCUGGGGCUGGAUACCCGGUACCCGGGCCUCUGGGCUUCCUGUUAAACGCUCUUGUCUGAGAGCGAUUGGUGUCUGCGCCGCUUAAAAUCAGUUUAAUGCAGGAGGUUGAGAUGGGGCGUUCUAGAUCCUUCGGAGAAGAGUGCUAUUCAACAUUUCUUUCCAGUCCUAUUCAGUGCUAGCUGUGUGGUCACAGGCAUGUUUAUGGAAGGAGGAAUUUUUUUGUCCAUCCAAUUCAAUAGUCUCUGUCUUUUAACAGAAAUGACCAGUUUCUCAAAUGCUUUUAGAACCAGUUUUAUCAUCCUACUGAUUCGUUCAUCAAUUAAAGUAAAAUCGUUGACGUGAGAUCAUUCUAAAUUGUAAGAGAGUCAUAUUUUUUAACUUUUGAAAAUUUUUCUUUGACAUCAUGAUGCGUGGGAGUAAAAAUAUUAUAAAUUAAUAUUUUAUAUGAUAUAUAGCUAAAUUAAUAAAUUAAAUGUUAAGUAAAAAUUGGGUUAUUUCAUCUUACUUCCUAAAAGUUUAUAUAUUUUAAGUCAGCCAAAAAUUCUUCUGUAUAUUCAGUGUGAAUUCACCAUAUAUUAGGACAUAUAUGUUAAAAGCAGUUGGUUAUCUUCAGAAGAGAAAGUGCAACCUGGGAAGUGUCAGAAAUGAGGUCAGACGGGUUGCUAGAGGCUGGGUAGGCAAUACUAAGGAGCUUGAAUAUUCUCCUACAGCUCAUGGGGAACCACUGAAGUGUUGUAAGCUGGAGUGAUGUGAUUUUUAAGUGAUCAUUUGGCAUAUGGGGGAUUAGAAUUAGCCACCUCAAAAUAUGUCUCUUUGCCGUCAUUGUUUUCAAGAACAAAAGACUCUGAAAGAAACUUUGACCUCUCCCUUUACUGCCUAAAAGAAAUUAAC